rnacentral:rRNA from 1 species
UACGUAGGCAGCGAGCGUUGUUCGGAAUUACUGGGCGUAAAGAGUGUGUAGGCGGUGCUCCAAGUCUGGUGUGAAAUCUCCCGGCUUAACUGGGAGGGUGCGCCGGAAACUGGAGUGCUAGAGGGUGGGAGAGGUAAGCGGAAUUCCUGGUGUAGCGGUGAAAUGCGUAGAUAUCAGGAGGAACACCUGUGGUGUAGACAGCUUACUGGACCACUUCUGACGCUGAGACACGAAAGCGUGGGUAGCAAACAG